rnacentral:lncRNA from 1 species
CUCUGUUCAACUAGCAUAGGUAAACCUUCAUUUUUCUUUUCCGAGAAGUCGGUUUAGUGACAGGGACUUAACAUGUGCUGAAGAGUUUGUAUGACAUGAACAAUAUUGGGGAAGAUUGAUUUGUUGGUCACGUGCAGGAUGGCUCAUGAUGAAAGACUGAACAGAGAGUAUCCAGAGGCAAUUGCUAUGCCCUAAUCAUGACGUAGGUGGGGCCGGAACUGGGGUGAGGAUGGAAAGAAUGGAUGUGAGAUCCCAGGACAGAAUGACUAAGAUGAUGAUGGUGGACAGGAGCCGGGAGAGAAGAGAGAAAAGGCGUUUCCUUUUUGUGUUUGGGCAUGCUAUCGGAAAGGCUGAGGGGCUCGCAUCUUUGAGCCGGAGGGCAUGGGAUGAGGCUGGAGAAUAAAAGAAAGGGGGAGCAGAGCAGAAGGGGCUGAAUACUUGAGUGGUGUGAUUCAAUUACCUCCAAAAGAUGUCCAAAGAUGAAUCACCUGAUACCUCCAAGCAGCCAGGUGUUUCUUUCAGAAGCCAGAAGCUGAUAACCUGGGCUCGCUGAUCUAACCCCAGCCCGUGUUCUUUGCAAUGCAAGACUCAGGGUGGAGAUUCUUUCCACUGAG